GCCAGAGACACCUUGACCUGCCGGCCUUCUCUGGUACUGGGAUUCCCAGCGGCCCUCCCAGGGUUAUGCUCCCUCGCAUGAUGUAUUUCCCCUGCCUUUUUUAGAGCAGCGUUGUGCUCGCUCCAGGAAACAGCCUCUUCCUUCUCAUAAACACAGCCUUGGGUUCCUGACCAAGCGUCGUGCCACUCCGCGGCUCCUGAUCCAUCCAUCACACCUUGCUGUCACCGUGACUUCGAUUGUAGAGAACUGGUCCAACUCCAGAGGUGAAUUCAGGAUGGGGAGAAGGAAGAGGCAAGCCCUGGGAGCAGCUGAGGGUCACACACACUCCGUGUUCAGUCCCUGGGUAAAUCCUUUGGAAACUAGCUGACCGGUAUGGUGAGCAAGAAUUUCCAAUGACCCAGUGAGUGUGAUGGGAACAUCCUGAUAAACUCUCCACCACCAGAGCUAGGACUGGCCUUUCCGGUGUGCAGGGACCAAGGAGAGAAGAAAAUAGAGACGCCAUGGAGAAACUGAACUCUGAAAGGACUGAGUGUCUCAUGAAGAUCCGCAGAAAAGCUCGGCUUCUUUAUGAGCAAUGGAGAUUAGCCAACUGUGGGGACUCGGAGGAUCUACAUGAACUACACCUAAAUCGGUCUUCUCUAUCAUCUUGCUAAGUGAUUACCUUGAGAACAACGUGACACACAUCUGUAAUCCCAGCACAUGGGAAGCCGAGGCAGGAGGAUAAUUUCAAGGCCAACCUGAACUAUGUAGUGAAGUCCCGCAUCUAAAAACUGAACAAACAAAUGAAAAUAAGUAGAUACGGGGCUGGGGGUGUAUCUCUGUGAUACAAACGUCUGGGGCGGAAGCUCCAUGAUAGAGUACUUGUUGUCCAGCAUGCAGGAAUCCCUUGCUCAAUCCCAAAGUGGGGUGGGAGGAUGGUAGCAGAAUGAAGAAAGCUGAACCCCAAACUACUGCUUGGGAAAAGCUGAGGACAAAUCCAGUUUUUACCUCAAAAGCAUUAAAAAUCUCCAAGGCGGCAGCAUCUGGGAGACUCUUCCCUGAGAACCUGAGAGGAAAUACUUAAAGAUUCUGACCCUGGAGGCUCCAAACCAGUCUAUCCUAAGCAAAGUGCAAUGAAGCCUGAAGUCAAAAGCAUCCAUCCGCCUUUCAGAUCCUAAUCAGGCAAGAAUGCCAGGCCUCUGAGAGCAAUUUUCACAAAGUACAAGGGCUAGGGAUAUAUCUUAGGACAGAGAGAGAGAGAGAGAGAGAGAGAGAGAGAGAGAGAGGAUGAGGAAGAUAGAGAAAAGCAUAUUUCUCAUGAAAAAGACAAAGAGUGGGGAUGUCACUUAUUGCUAGAGCUCCCGCUCUCAGGUGGUACAAGGUGCUGAGACUGGACCCCAGGCCUGGGGAAAAUAGAGUUUGAAAUACUAGGACAUGCAGCUCAACCAUACAGAGCUUACUGAGCACACAGCUAGCACUAGCUGGGGGAAGGGAGGGCAACUCCGAAAAUACAGGCAAUAUCAAGAACAGAAAAUGAAGUAACAAUACUGUAAGAUACCACAACCAUGAAACAAAAGCGUGGUGUUAGCUUCCUACAACUCGAAGAACAAAAUAAAAAUGAGUUCAUAGAAACUGAAAGCAGCUAUGACACCAGGUAGUGGUGGAGCACACCUUUAAACCCAGCACUCGGGAGGCAGAGACAGACAGAUCUCAGAGUUUGAGGCCAGCCUGGUCUACAGGGCAAGUUCCAGGACAGCCAAGGCUACACAGAGAAACCCUGUCUCAAAAAGCAAGAAGGAGAACAAGAAAAAGAGAGGGAAGGAGAGAGAGAGAGAGA
rnacentral:lncRNA from 1 species